AUUGAACGCUGGCGGCAUGCUUUACACAUGCAAGUCGAACGGCAGCACAGCAGUAGCAAUACUGUGGGUGGCGAGUGGCGGACGGGUGAGGAACACAUCGGAAUUUGCCCAGUCGUGGGGGAUAACGUAGGGAAACUUACGCUAAUACCGCAUACGACCUUACGGUGAAAGCGGGGGAUCGCAAGACCUCGCGCGGAUGGAUGAGCCGAUGUCGGAUUAGCUAGUUGGUGGGGUAAAGGCCUACCAAGGCGACGAUCCGUAGCUGGUCUGAGAGGAUGAUCAGCCACACUGAGACUGAGACACGGCCCAGACUCCUACGGGAGGCAGCAGUGGGGAAUAUUGGACAAUGGGGGCAACCCUGAUCCAGCAAUGCCGCGUGUGUGAAGAA
rnacentral:rRNA from 1 species